UGCGGGGUAGGGGAGAGGACGUCCCCGCUGGGCUCAUAACCCAGAGAGCGUGGGUUCAAAUCCCACCCCCGCUA
rnacentral:tRNA from 1 species